AGAGUUUGAUCCUGGCUCAGGACGAACGCUGGCGGCGUGCUUAACACAUGCAAGUCGAACGGAAGUUACGAGGAAGCUUGCGAAUUGUAACUUUAGUGGCGGACGGGUGAGUAACGCGUGGAUAACCUGCCUACAUGACCGGGACAACACCGGGAAACUGGUGCUAAUACCGGAUACGCUCAUCAAUACACAUGUAUAGAUGAGGAAAGGAGAAAUCCGCAGGUAGAUGGGUCCGCGUCCCAUUAGCUAGUUGGCGGUGUAAAAGACCACCAAGGCGACGAUGGGUAGCCGGCCUGAGAGGGUGGACGGCCACACUGGAACUGAGACACGGUCCAGACUCCUGCGGGAGGCAGCAGUGGGGAAUCUUCCGCAAUGGGCGAAAGCCUGACGGAGCAACGCCGCGUGAGUGAUGAAGGCCUUCGGGUCGUAAAGCUCUGUCAGAGGGAAAGAAAUGUUAUUAUGCUAAUAUCAUGAUAACUUGACGGUACCCCUAAAGGAAGCACCGGCUAACUCCGUGCCAGCAGCCGCGGUAAUACGGGGGGUGCAAGCGUUGUUCGGAAUUAUUGGGCGUAAAGCGCGUGUAGGCGGUUUGUUAAGUCUGUUGUGAAAGCCCUGGGCUCAACCCAGGAAGUGCACUGGAUACUGGCAGACUUGAAUACGGGAGAGGGUAGUGGAAUUCCUAGUGUAGGAGUGAAAUCCGUAGAUAUUAGGAGGAACACCGGUGGCGAANGCGGCUACCUGGACCGAUAUUGACGCUGAGACGCGAAAGCGUGGGGAGCAAACAGGAUUAGAUACCCUGGUAGUC
rnacentral:rRNA from 1 species